CCCUUAGAUGUUCUGGGCCGCACGCGUGCUACACUGAGUGGAUCAGCGGGUCAGGUUGCGCGAAAGCGUUUCCUAAUCUUUAAAUCCGCUCGUGAUGGGGAUUGACGGUUGCAAUUUUCUGUCAUGAACGAGGAAUACCUUGUAAGCGCGGGUCAUCAUCCCGCGCUGAAUACGUCCCUGCCCUUUGUACACACCGCCCGUCGCUCCUACCGAUCGAGUGGUCCGGUGAGGCUUUGGGAUCUGAGCGGAAAGAGCGUUUCGCUGUUUCUGCUCGGAAAACUCAGUCGAACCUUAUCAUUUAGAGGAAGGAGAAGUCGUAACA
rnacentral:rRNA from 1 species